AGAGUUUGAUCCUGGCUCAGGACGAACGCUGGCGGCGCGCCUAACACAUGCAAGUCGAACGAGCGAGAGAGAGCUUGCUUUCUCGAGCGAGUGGCGAACGGGUGAGUAACGCGUGAGGAACCUGCCUCAAAGAGGGGGACAACAGUUGGAAACGACUGCUAAUACCGCAUAAGCCCACGGGUCGGCAUCGACCAGAGGGAAAAGGAGCAAUCCGCUUUGAGAUGGCCUCGCGUCCGAUUAGCUGGUUGGUGAGGUAACGGCCCACCAAGGCGACGAUCGGUAGCCGGACUGAGAGGUUGAACGGCCACAUUGGGACUGAGACACGGCCCAGACUCCUACGGGAGGCAGCAGUGGGGAAUAUUGCACAAUGGGGGAAACCCUGAUGCAGCGACGCCGCGUGGAGGAAGAAGGUCUUCGGAUUGUAAACUCCUGUUGUUGGGGAAGAUAAUGACGGUACCCAACAAGGAAGUGACGGCUAACUACGUGCCAGCAGCCGCGGUAAACGUAGGUCACAAGCGUUGUCCGGAAUUACUGGGUGUAAAGGGAGCGCAGGCGGGAAGACAAGUUGGAAGUGAAAUCCAUGGGCUCAACCCAUGAACUGCUUUCAAAACUGUUUUUCUUGAGUAGUGCAGAGGUAGGCGGAAUUCCCGGUGUAGCGGUGGAAUGCGUAGAUAUCGGGAGGAACACCAGUGGCGAAGGCGGCCUACUGGGCACCAACUGACGCUGAGGCUCGAAAGUGUGGGUAGCAAACAGGAUUAGAUACCCUGGUAGUCCACACCGUAAACGAUGAUUACUAGGUGUUGGAGGAUUGACCCCUUCAGUGCCGCAGUUAACACAAUAAGUAAUCCACCUGGGGAGUACGACCGCAAGGUUGAAACUCAAAGGAAUUGACGGGGGCCCGCACAAGCAGUGGAGUAUGUGGUUUAAUUCGACGCAACGCGAAGAACCUUACCAAGUCUUGACAUCCGUUGACCGACAUAGAAAUAUGUUUUUCCUUCGGGACAGCGAGACAGGUGGUGCAUGGUUGUCGUCAGCUCGUGUCGUGAGAUGUUGGGUUAAGUCCCGCAACGAGCGCAACCCUUAUGGUCAGUUACUACGCAAGAGGACUCUGGCCAGACUGCCGUUGACAAAACGGAGGAAGGUGGGGAUGACGUCAAAUCAUCAUGCCCUUUAUGACUUGGGCUACACACGUACUACGAUGGCGUUAAACAAAGAGAAGCAAGACCGCGAGGUGGAGCAAAACUCAGAAACAACGUCCCAGUUCGGACUGCAGGCUGCAACUCGCCUGCACGAAGUCGGAAUUGCUAGUAAUCGUGGAUCAGCAUGCCACGGUGAAUACGUUCCCGGGCCUUGUACACACCGCCCGUCACACCAUGAGAGCCGGGGGGACCCGAAGUCGGU
rnacentral:rRNA from 1 species